rnacentral:rRNA from 1 species
AGCAGUAGCCACGGUAAUACAGAGGGUGCGAGCGUUAAUCGGAUUUACUGGGCGUAAAGCGUGCGUAGGCGGCUUCUUAAGUCGGAUGUGAAAUCCCUGAGCUUAACUUAGGAAUUGCAUUCGAUACUGGGAAGCUAGAGUAUGGGAGAGGAUGGUAGAAUUCCAGGUGUAGCGGUGAAAUGCGUAGAGAUCUGGAGGAAUACCGAUGGCGAAGGCAGCCAUCUGGCCUAAUACUGACGCUGAGGUACGAAAGCAUGGGGAGCAAACAGGAUUAGAUACCCGCGUAGUCCCUGUCUCUUAUAC